rnacentral:rRNA from 1 species
AGCGAACGCUGGCGGCAGGCCUAACACAUGCAAGUCGAACGAACCUUUCGGGGUUAGUGGCGGACGGGUGAGUAACACGUGGGAACGUGCCUUUAGGUUCGGAAUAACUCAGGGAAACUUGUGCUAAUACCGAAUGUGCCCUUCGGGGGAAAGAUUUAUCGCCUUUAGAGCGGCCCGCGUCUGAUUAGCUAGUUGGUUGAGGUAAUGGCUCACCAAGGCGACGAUCAGUAGCUGGUCUGAGAGGAUGAUCAGCCACAUUGGGACUGAGACACGGCCCAAACUCCUACGGGAGGCAGCAGUGGGGAAUCUUGCGCAAUGGGCGAAAGCCUGACGUAACCAUGCCGCGUGAAUGAUGAAGGUCUUAGGAUUGUAAAAUUCUUUCACCGGGGACGAUAAUGACGGUACCCGGAGAAGAAGCCCCGGCUAACUUCGUG